AUUAAAGUUAGGGCAAGUUUCAGACGACACAAUCUGCUUCGACACUCCGCAGGGAGCAGCCUCCGCUAUCGCCUCAGGUGACAAGUUCUGCUGUCUGAUGGAGGAGGCAUUGGUGACCAUCUUGAGGUUGUGAUGAAAAAUAAAGUGGUGGAGAUGGUGGAAAAAGCCUUUGUGAAAUUGAGAGUUGAUUUAGACACCAAUGGGGAAGAGAAGACUUUGGAUUUUGAUGAAUACUGAUUGUGCCGUACACUUGUUGGAUUGGAGGAAAUCAAGAGAGAGAAGGAUCCUGCUAAGAAGUUUUUGUUUCCUGGAGGUAGAAGGUGGUGCGAAUGGGAUGGAGGACUCAACCCCACUCUUUGGGGUGGCUCAACAACAUCUUGGCACCCUUGUAACCGAGCUCAUGCGAAUGAUUGACAAAAUUUUUAAGCAAAACCUGACUGUUACUCCAAUUUUAAUUGCAGAGGUAGCAAGUACUCUGACUGAGAUUCCUGCUUCAUGGCUCCUUCAUUUUUCAGAGCCGCCACUUCAGGGCCUUGAACCAAGACUCACUAAAGGGGUGAUGCUGAUUGGACAAGAACAUGUUCCAUUUGUUAUUAGCAAUGCAUUGUCAAGGCAUAGAGUUGCUUCUCAAUCUUGCACAAUUGGGUCAUUUAUUUUUUUAAAUGGCUUUGUGCAAGGAUGGACAGAGACCGCCAAAGCUCUUUCCGAGCAACUCUUUGACUUGACAAAGAAAGUUACUCAGACUCACAAUCUGUAUCAUGCCUCUUUGGUUUUUCCUCCAGUUCAUCUAUUCUGACAGAAGGACUGCUCACAGAAGCUGUGAAGAGUGGGCCUUACACCGUAGUGUUGUUUGACAAUGUUUAUAGGUCUCAUCCUUCUGUUACUGAUGCUCUGAUUGAGAUCAUUAGCCAUGGCAGAGUAUCAAAUGGCCAAGGAAACACCACUGACUUCACCAAAACAUUGAUUAUCAUGACAUCAAAUGUUAUGGAUGGUAAGGUCCAAUGGUGGCACUGCCAAUGUGUACAGAUGGUUCGAGAAAUCCCGCUGAAAGACUUAUCUUCUGGUGCAUUGCAACAAGAGCAUCAAUGCACCUAUCUAGAUCUUCUGAGGGAGGUUAGAAAACAUUUCAAACAGGAUGACGUGAUUCUUUUUAAGAAAUUUUCUUUUGAGCACUAUAUGGCUGCUACGAGUCUCCAGCUAAGGGAAAUAGACUGCUUCAUGACGGAGAAAAGGCUGAUUUUAUACACAUCUGACGCUGCACUCCAUUGUAUUCUGAGCAAGAUAAAACUUUAUCAAAGGGGUGAAUAUGCUUUGAGGAUUUGGCUAGAGGGGAAUUUGCUCGCUUCGUUAUUUGAUAUGCUUGCAGAAAAUGACAUAGAUGAUAUGUCCACGUUUUACACUGAUGCGCUGGUGGGACAAAAGGAGUUGUCUUAUAGAUUGGAGAAAGGUGGCUAUCAAACGAAAAAUCUGUUCAUGAAGCUGUACAAAGAAUCUUUAAGGGGAUUAAGAGCAAUGUAUUUGAAAGAGAAAGAACGAGUCAACAAGAUCUACUUGUUAAGAAGAAAUUUGUUUGAACUGAUGAAUUUACCAGAUGCGGAGGCUAGAGCAGAUUUGGAAGAAUCGCAAAAAAUGUUGGUUUCAUGUUUACAGGAGGUGGAAGGUGUGAAUGGGAUGGACUCGACCCCACUGUCUGGGGUGGCUCAACAUCUUUCUACCCUUGUAAGCUCAUUCUAAUGAUUCAUGAAAAUUUUAAGCAAAACCUGACUGUUACUCCAAUUCUAAUUGUAGAGGUAGCAAGUCCUCUGACUGGGAUUUCUGCUUCAUGGCUUCACCAUUUUCCGGAGCCGCCACUUCAGGGCCUUGAACCAAGGCUCGCUAAAGGGCUGAUAAAGAUUGGACACAAACAUGUUCCAUUAGUUAUUAGCAAUGCAUUGUCAAAGCGUAGAGUUGUUUCUCAAUCUCACCCAAUCGGAUCAUUUCUAUUUUUUAAUGGUCGUGUGCCGGGAUGGACAGAGAUUGCCAAAGCUCUUGCCAAGCAACUUUAUGGCGACAAAGAAUUUUUGAUAGUAUUUGACUUGUCAGAAUUUUGCUCCAACUCUCAUUUUCAUCUAAGGUGGACACCUAGAAAAAGCAACGUGGUUGCUCAUCUUGUAGGCCAGUUGGCUUUGUCAUCACGUUCUGGAUACUCAGACUCACAAUCUGUCUCACACCUCGUUGGUUUUCCCACCAGUUCCUGUUAUCAUGAAAACUGUUGCAUAGAAGGACUGCUCACAGAAGCUGUGAAGAGCAGGCCUUUCACCGUGUUGUUGUUUCGCAAUGGUGUCAUUGUUAGUAUGAUUGACAUAAAUUUCUUGUGUGUGUUGAACCAUUUGUUCAUUAACUGACACCUCCACACAAGUGGUUCCAUCCUUUGAAGCCACAAACAUCCUAUUUCUUUCAUCGUCGCCCACGGCAGUCCGUAUAUGUAAACCCUCCACACUCCUCGUUAUGUAGUAAUUCAGUCCCUGAGCGUACCAGUCUUCUAUUCUUUCCUAGCAGGCAAAAAUACCCCAAUCUCAUUCUUCCACGGAUAGAUUUCAUAAAUUCGGUACUGAUUUUCUUCCAAAAGGACUAGCUGUAAACUUGGAGAUAUACCACCCACCAUUUUGAAGUGCCUAAGUUCUUCUAUAUUAGUAGCAGUGCUUAAGGUAAAUCUCGAAUGAUCUUGCCAACCAUACAUAAGAAUUAACCCACUACAUAGUCUGUUUACCCAACAAAGAACGUCAUUACUAAAACAGAACCCCUGAGGUUGAUGACCUUCAUAAACCACGUUAACGGGCCAAUCUUCCUCCAAAUAAUUUGUUGUAUGGUGACACACAUAAUAUAUGGUAGCUGCGAACUGAAUAAUUAACACACUUGCAUUAUCAUCGUUCAUGAUAAAGCAGCUAAGUGUCUCGAUAGGUUCGCAUACAUCCGAAGGCAGAUACCAAGGCAAGCAGCUGGGUGAACUGACCAAUUCCAUCAUAAAGCAAUGCCCUUAAACCUGAAACCAAAAGGACCCACCCCCCUCCACUCGAGUGUCCGACAAUUUCAUACGUACUCAAAUCGACGGGAACUCUUUUGUUAUUCAAAGUAUGAACAAAAAAAACUGUGGAAUGAUGCAUAUAAGGAUUGCUAGAGAAUAAAAAAAAACCUCCAUUACAGACCUUUGGUAGGGUGUGAAAGGUUUAUCUCGAAUCCUCCUGGCAAUGAGAACAUAUCACAAAGCAAAUUAUUGAAUUUUGCUAUUGACUUUAGGAAAGAAAUAUUAUGCAGGGUCAAGGAAGACAAGCACGAGAAUGACAAUUAAAGGAAAUGAAAUAAAACAGAAUUGUUACCUUAAAAAAUUCAUGGCUGCACCAUUUUUCGGUGCCACCACUUCAGGGCCUUGAACCAAGGCUUGCUAAAGGGCUAAUAAAGAUUGGACACAAAUGUGUUCCAUUAGUUAUUAGCAAUGCAUUGUCGAGGCAUAGAGUUGUUUCUCAAUCUCGCCCAAUCAGAUCAUUUCUAUUUUUUAAUGGUCGUGUGCCGGGAUGGACAGAGAUUGCCAAAGCUCUUACCGAGCAACUUUAUGACGACAAAGAAUUUUUGAUAGUAUUUGACUUGUCAGAAUUUUGCUCCAACUCUCAUUUUCAUCUAAGGUGGACACCUAGAAAAAGCAACGUGGUUGCCAUCUCGUAGGCCAGUUGGCUUUGUCAUCGCGUUCUGGAUACUCAGACUCACAAUCUGUCUUACACCUCGUUGGUUUUCCCACCAGAUUUUUCAGUUCCUGUUAUCAUGAAAACUGUUGCACAGAAGGACUGCUCACAGAAGCUGUGAAGAGCAGGCCUUUCACUGUGUUGUUGUUUCGCAAUGUUGAUAAGGCUUAUUCUUUUGUUAUUGAUGUUCUGAUUGAGAUCAUUAGCCAUGGCAGAGUAUCAAAUGGCCAAGGAAGCACCACUGACUUCACCAAAAUGCCGAUUAUCAUGACAUCAAAUGUUUGGAAAUGCAAAUGUAUAUGGUUGAAGAAAACCAGCUGAAAGGCUUAUCUCCUGACACAUUGCAACAAGAUCAUCAAUGCACCUAUCUUAACUUUCUGAGGAAGAUGGGUGAAUAUGCUAUGAAGAUUUGGCUAGAGGAGAAGUUGCUCCCCCCAUUAUUUGAUAUGCUUGCAAAGAAUGAGAUGGAUGAUGAUAUGUCCACGAUUUACAUUGAUGCGCUGGUGGGACAACAGGAGUUGUCUUAUAGACUGGAGGGUGCAUAUAAAGCGGAAAUAUUGUGCAUGAAGCUGUACAAAGAAUUAAGGGGAUUGUUAAGAAGAAAUCUGUUUGGACUGAUGAAUUUACUAGAUGCAGAGGCUAGAGCAGAUUUGGACUGUGUUGCAGAGGUUGCUCGACCGCUGGUUAAGACAUUAGACGAUCUCAUAAAAAAUGCAAUUGAAGUCGACUUUAUGCCAAGUGCAUUUGAACUCCUUAAAUGAGGAACGUGAGCUUAAGCCGAGAGAAAGGCUUAUGAGUGAGAGUUCUAAGAAUGGAGCGCCAAGGACUUCGGUUAAGAUUGGGUAGAAGAGUGGUAGGACAACAUCAGGCAAGUGAUGUGAGACAAAAUCAUUAGGUCUCGUAUUUUAUAUCUAUGUCUUUUUACAUACACCAUCUCAAUUUGUUCAUUUCUAAAUAUAUGCUUGUUCUGAUAAAUUUUUUUUGCGUUAUGAAAACAUUGAUGUUUGUUUCAACGUGGAUGUUUUCCUAAAAACUCUUUUAUCAUUCCUUGUGUUCGGUACUUUGGUUACCUUUUAAAAUUAUUUUAAAAAAUUAUGGUAAAAGGUGAGAGACUUCGAGAUACAAUCGUAUACACCCCCGUAUCAUCCCCCAAGUUGUAUAUGACUAAUACAUUGCUUUUAAAACUUUGUCCAAAAAAGUUUAGAAUUUUAACCAAACACAAAAGAAAUGUGAAAAAUGUUUACUUAAAAACCAACAGAGCAUUUAUGUGUUAUCGGUUCUCCUUCUUCCAUAGCCCGAGUUCGUAGAAGAAAAGAUAGGAGGGCCCUAUGGAGAAUGUGGUCAAUCUCAUCACUAAAGUGAUGACUGAGACAAUAAUGCUGAGAUGAUUGUGGCUGUAGAGUUGUUGCAAUGUCCUUUUUGUCAUCAUCUUGUAAAUCUAAUUAACUAAAAAAGUCUUAGCAUCUAGUAAUGAUGGUCCCUCGUGUAUGUAAUCUCAACUACUUGAAUUAUCUUCCUUAAAUUUGUAGUCUAGGAUAAUAGGGUUGAAUCUACCGUGAAGUUAUUGUUGCCUUCUUUCUUUAAGUUUUUGCUAAUCUAAAUUGAUAGUUUUAUUUUAAUGC